rnacentral:rRNA from 1 species
AGUGAACGCUGGCGGUAGGCCUAACACAUGCAAGUCGAACGGCAGCACAGUAAGAGCUUGCUCUUACGGGUGGCGAGUGGCGGACGGGUGAGGAAUACAUCGGAAUCUACUUUUUCGUGGGGGAUAACGUAGGGAAACUUACGCUAAUACCGCAUACGACCUACGGGUGAAAGCAGGGGAUCUUCGGACCUUGCGCGAUUGAAUGAGCCGAUGUCGGAUUAGCUAGUUGGCGGGGUAAAGGCCCACCAAGGCGACGAUCCGUAGCUGGUCUGAGAGGAUGAUCAGCCACACGGGAAAGGAGACACGGUCCAGACUCCUCCGGGAGGCAGCAGUGGGGAAUAUUGGACAAAGGGCGCAAGCCUGAUCCAGCCAUCCCGCGUGGGUGAAGAAGGCCUUCGGGUUGUAAGGCCCUUUUGUUGGGAAAGAAAAGCAGCAGGUUAAUACCCCGCUGUUCUGACGGUACCCAAAGAAUAAGCACCGGCUAACUUCGUG